rnacentral:rRNA from 1 species
CGCGUAGGCGGUUCGCUAAGUUGGAUGUGAAAACUCUGGGCUCAACCCAGAGCCUGCAUCCAAAACUGGCGGGCUAGAGUUCUGGAGGGGGUAGCGGAAUUCCUGGUGUAGCGGUGAAAUGCGUAGAUAUCAGGAGGAACACCGGUGGCGAAGGCGGCUACCUGGACAGAAACUGACGCUGAGUGCGCGAAAGCUAGGGGAGCAAACA